AUGGCAGAAGGUUGCGACGCAACCGGUGACACCUGCUGAGGACGCGCACUAAGUAUCGUAAAGAAUCAUUGGAAAGUGAGCUCACGUCGAGUGACGAUAGUGAUGGCGCCACCGAGCCAGAAUUGCCCCAGAGUGUACACAACGAGGAACAUCAAAUUCACACACCAGCCUUGGGCCAGAGUGCGCAGACCUAUAGCCAGGACCAUCAGAGCCAGGGUGGUUCUCAGGAUUCCAUUCCUCAUCCAGUCCUACGCAGAUCAGCGCGGCAGACACGACCACCUGAUCGACUACGCUACGAUAGUAACUUUAAUCAAGUAGCCUAAACUCUUAUGUGGCAGUAGGGAGAUGUAUCAUGCAAGGCUCGCCCGCCAUGCGAGCGCAUGCGCCGCUACCACCAUGCGAGCGAGCUACAGAU
rnacentral:lncRNA from 1 species